rnacentral:rRNA from 1 species
GAGGACAGUGUAUGGUGGGCAGUUUGACUGGGGCGGUCUCCUCCUAAAGAGUAACGGAGGAGUACGAAGGUGCGCUCAGACCGGUCGGAAAUCGGUCGCAGAGUAUAAAGGCAAAAGCGCGCUUGACUGCGAGACAGACACGUCGAGCAGGUACGAAAGUAGGUCUUAGUGAUCCGGUGGUUCUGUAUGGAAGGGCCAUCGCUCAACGGAUAAAAGGUACUCCGGGGAUAACAGGCUGAUACCGCCCAAGAGUUCAUAUCGACGGCGGUGUUUGGCACCUCGAUGUCGGCUCAUCAC